GAAAAGAAUCGGUUGACAAAAAAAAAAACUAAGAAAAGAAUCAUUCAGUUUAUCAUUGUUCUCUUGUUUAUUUCCAUGUUUCACAUAUAUGAAAGAAGUCUAUUUGAAUUUACAUCCUCCAAACUAUCAAGCCAACUAUGGUUCCUUGCAGAUACAAGAAAACAUCAUAUGUAUUGCAGGUUAAUUAUUUUAAUAUGCAAACUUUUUUUUGGUUAAUAUAUUAAUAUUUAUUACCCUAUUUUGGUGUUGACUUAAUUUAUAAAGAAAAUCUAGUAACAGAAAAACAACAUAGAAAACGAAACACACAACAACACCAAAGAAACAAACGGGAACACAACAACAAUUAAGAUGUAAACUUUCUUGGAUACUUAAACAAUUUUUUAGAACAUAACAAAGUGAAGAUCAUAGUACUAUUUUGAUUGCAUGAUCGAUCAAACGGCCGUGACUGCUAUUUUCAUAGCGGCUUCACAGUGGCCCGGAAAGUUGCAGAUGAAGAAGUUUUGUCCUUUAGACAAAGUUAUACGAUCUUUCCCUGAAGUGUAUGUUCUCGCACGUGCCGGCGUUUUGCAAUUGUUGUACCCUCCACUAUCUACCGCCACUACGUUGUGGAUUCUCGGAUUAUAGUUAAACACUGCAACAAAAUUUUGAAAUAGUGAGUUUAUUAUUUAAAUUUAUUGCUUACUCUAUGGCUCUUCCAUAUAUCGGAACUUUAGUGUCCAAAAGCUAUUAGGAUUUUUUAUUACAAAAUUAAUUACCAUUAAAACUUCAAUAAAGAAAAAAAAAAUUACGCCAAAACACGAUUUCGUUUGUGCGUGGGGAUAGUAUUGACCUAAUUCCUAAGAAUUUACUUGUGUAAAUGGGUUUGAUAUGUGAAUUUAAAUAUAUAAAGAUUACGUACAACUCUUAACUGUACGUUAAGCACUGAUAAUAAUAAACAGAUUAACUUUUAACUAAUGGUAUAUAUGUAAAUCUGCAAGUUGAUUGAAAUAUUUCUUCAGGUGAAAACAUUUUCAACUCAUCCACUCAAGGUUAAACCAAAAUCCUAGUUACUUUUGUAAAACAUUUCCAUUGCAUCCAACAUUUCCAGUAGUUAAUAGCUACUGGGUUAAACUUGAAAAGGUAUGCACGACAUAGUCAAGCAAACUAUGAUAUAUAAAUAAACGGAAAAAAUUGGUGAAAAUUAUUUGUCGCAUAUCUUGCACAAAAACACACUUACACAUAUCUAGAUCUGGCAGCAGUGGUGGAUAUAAAGAUUAUAAAAACUUUAGGUGCUUGUGACCUAUAUUUGUAACAAUAUGAUAGAAUCUUGUGGAAGUUUAAGUAUAAGAUGUGAAGUAUGUAUACCUAAAACGUCACCAGCUUUAAAAUGUUUGCCUGAAGGCCAACCCACAGCGUUGAAGGCCCAGCCGUUGGAUUCGCCGACUGUGUAAGUCGCAGCUUGAACGUAGUCAGCUUGAAGAACCAACACUGAGACCAACAUCAAAGCGACU
rnacentral:lncRNA from 1 species